CGUAAUCCCUUCCUCUUCCUCGAAAAUCUGAAAUCCUUUCAUCUUGAAUCUUCAGACUUCACUCUUCGAACCCAGAAAUUGCCGCCGGCUUCCCCUCUCACCGCACAACCUUUCUCUCAAAAUCCCACCGGCGACCGCACGCUGCAUGACCUCUCUCUCACAGUCCCACCGCACGACUUCUCUCUCUCUUCUAGGACAACUUGGAAGUUUGAACAUUUGGAAAUUUGUAACAUUUACUUUAUUGUUGUAGAGAACAUUUGUUGGGCAUUUAGAAGUUUGUAAUUAAUUUAUUUUGGUGCUUUUGAAAGUUUGUAAUUUGUUGUUGUUGCCUUGUUGGGAACAUUUAAUUUGGUUUGCACUUAGAAAAUGUUGGAUUUCUUUUUAGUUUUUAUUUUUAAUUUUGGACAGCAA